GGAUGCGAUCAUACCAGCACUAAAGCAUCGGAUCCCAUCAGAACUCCGAAGUUAAGCGUGCUUGGGCGAGGGUAGUACUAGGAUGGGUGACCUCCUGGGAAGUCCUCGUGUUGCAUUCC
rnacentral:rRNA from 2 species